CUUUGUAUUAGCAUUCUUCUAAGCUACAUUGUUGGAUGAUGACAGAUAAAAUUGGCAGCAAUUGUAAGGAUUAGCUUUAGAGGGAAGAUGAAGAUGAUUAAUGUAUUAUCUUAUGUUUCUCUAGGGUUCAUUUUUAUGCUUAUGGGAACUGCAUUGUUGGAUUGUUUAAUUGUAUUUUCUGAUUUUAUUUCUACAAUCUUUGCUUGAGAAGUAUUUUAUUAGUAUUCCUAGUCACAUUACUGGAUGAUGACAGAUACCAUUGGCAGCAAUAGCAAGGAGAAGAAAAUUACUGAAUGAUGAUGUCAUCGUCUCCUUGGCCGAUAGUUCUUGGGAAAUUCUUGACCUUUCUGGUUCAGAUGUUUCCAAUUUUGGCUUAGCUAAAGUAGCUGAAAUGUGC
rnacentral:lncRNA from 1 species